CACAGUGAGGGUAUUUAAGGCUGUGCUCAGUGACUCCGGGGGGGGGUGCUAGAGGACUGCUGCAGGAGCUGCUGCCACUCUGUUACCCUGCCAGUUCAGCUUGUUUCUUGGAGGCUACAAGGCAACCGUGGUAGAAGCGCAAUGGAGAUCUACCAGCUUGCAAGCCAGUGGCACUUCGUGGUGGUGGUAACUCCUGUCCUGUGCUUUUAACAGUUACCCUUAGCUUUUCUAACUUUUAUAUGUCCCUUCUUUCUCUCUGCUCCUUUGUGUUACAAAAUAAAGUUGUCAUUUUGGGAUCCAGCAUCUGGGCUCAUUUGGGCCUUAAUCUCACUUACGGGAAUGUUUUAGAACCUGAUUCCCCUAUGCAUCCAAGUGGAUUGGAACAUUAGCUUGUUUGAAGGUUGGAAAGAAAUGUUAUUUUUAAAAAAUAAUAAAUAUCUGCAACCUUGCAUUGGCUCACCAACCACAAACAUUUUUAUUUAUUACUCUGAAUGUAUUCAGGCUGCUCAAAGAAAUGAAGAAAGUGCUGGAUAGUUAUAUUACCGUCAGUAGGAGUCUUCAGUUUCAUUGUCAUUAUGAUUUAAACUGUCAGUAAAACAGAGCAGUUAUAUUGAAUGUGAAAUGAGGCUUAUGAGAAUGCAUGUCUGUGCCUUGUGUUAUACUCACUGGUUCAUGUUUCUCUCAUUGUAUUAGGUUACUCCACCCCCUCACCUCUCGUGGAUCAGCAAUAACAUGAUUAGCAUGUUGGCAGAGGGGAUUUUCAGAGAAAAACAGAAUGUCCUUUUUUUGAAUGGUGAUAGAUUAGAAUUUCUCUCAAAUGUGGAGGCAUUCUUAAGUUAUUUAGUGUCACAUAAAGCUAAUAAAAUUUUAUAGAAGACGGAUGCAAACCUAUGUAGUUAAAUAAUUGGUUUUUAAGGCUGCUUCAGUGGCAGGUGUUUACCUUAGUUCUGUCACAAACUGUUAUCCUCUGCCCAUCACUCCACUGCGUUACUCUUAGAAGGAACUCAAUAAUAUUGAACCAGUUACAGUUACAAUGAAUAUAUCAUUUCCCAUGAGUAAUUAAUUCUGCCCUUACCGUGUUUCUCUCACUUUGGUUUGAAUUUUUCCAGGUUCAGUUUCCAUUACAUUGCUGUCUUCAAGUUUGUCCCCCCACUACGGAUUUGUGGGGGUCUACAAUCGGGUGCAUCUGCCUUAGAUUUCUGCUUCAUUCCUGUGUCUGUGCCCAGUCGUGCACACUGCACACAUGUUGCUUCAGUCCCAGCUUGUCUUUUGGAUCAAAGCAGCUGGUUCUCUGUAGGAGAAAACUUGGAUGUGUCUGGAGGCUCUACCUCAGUUGCUGUUCCAGAUGGCAGUAGAGACUGCACUCGAUUUGGCUCCUUGCUCUCUCUCUCUUCCCAGCCCUCCACUGCUAUCCCAACAUCAUCUCAACCCCUACAUGCCCUCAUUGUGUACAGCACAUGCCCUCAGCAUCAUGUUACAAUAACACUGUCCUUACCUUUUUUUUUUUUUUUUUGGCACUUGGAAUGGAAAAAGAUGGGGUUAAAAAAAAAAGAUGGUUUAGGAUGGCAAGGACAACAGGGGAGACCUGAAAUCGGGCCUGUGUGCAUGAGACACUGCCGUUGUUUGGGCCAAACAUUCUGCGCGUGAGCGGCUCUGCACCCCUGGCUGGGAGGCUGCCGGGGACUGCGCGCUUGGAGGAGUGGAUGUUGCCUUUGCAUCAAAUGCCCUUCCAUGACAACCAAACAUUUCUACUGAUAUAAAUGGGCUGCUUUAAAUGCAUUUAGAAGUUGAUGUGGCCACAACGUAGUCAGUGGAGGAAAGGGUUUUUUGCAGUUAUGUUGUCACAGCGAGCUGGAACAUGCACAGGGCAAUGAGGGCUGUGCAGGUGAGGACAGAUCUUGCCCCUACCUUCUGUAUGGCUGUUUUUGUAUGAUGCUGUUUGGAUCAGUAAAAAUGAAGAGUUUUUCACCCUAUAUUUCAUCUAGAUGUGUUUAGCAGUGAAUAAAGAAUUUUUUUAAAAGAGAAAAUUGUGAUUUCCUGUCUAUCAUUUCUUCUCCCUCUUAAUGAAAGGUACCCUUGAGUGAACAGAAGUGUGACAAGGACAUACCUUGAGUGACAAACAUUGAGCUCUGAUGGCAGGAUGGACUGUCCUAUGUUUCUAAUUAAUGACUUUCCUCUUCUUACAAGUUCUGAAAAGUAUGUAUUUCCUGAACUGAUUUUUUUACAAUUGUGUUUAAAUUUGUGAACAGUGACUCCAUUACUGAAAAAUUAUAGCUAUGCUCAUCAUCUGUAAGGCUGUUUAACUAGAAAAGCAUGCUGCAUCAGGUAGAGAUGAAUGCUGUGAUUACUUUUAUAAGAUAAUGGAGCCCUGAGUUUUUUGAGCUGUGUUUGUACAUUAACCUGAAAUGAACUUUCUUGCUCAGUGGUUUCAUUUGUAUCAUCAUUUUCAGUCACUAAACCAUAAAAAAACACAUACUCCAAUUCCCUGAUCAGUUUUAAGCACUUCCUGAAUUAGAAAAAGAUUUCAUGACUGCUGCUUAACUGAGUAAUAUCUGCCUUCAUUUAAAGUAUUGGCAUGUUUUAUGUAUUAACUAUUAAGACCUGAGUCAAUCGUGAUGCUUUUUGAUCUUUUUUUUCUAUGACUGUUUUGCUUUUCUCUGUUAUCUGCACGGUCACUCUCAGCCCUGGCAAAUUGCUGCCCCUCUUAAGUCUUGAUCAACACAUAGCUAUACCAACAUGAGAAGAAUGGAAGGUGGUAGGGUUACAAUUUCUUUUCCAGUAGAGCUACAUGGUGCAAUUCCUCGCACACACCAUUUAUGGACAGACUAAAACUGCUACAGCUUAUUCUGCUGUGAGGGGAUAAACUAUUACAAGGUGAGCACCUUUUAAAUCAUGCACCAGGGAUAGCACAAGCUACUCAUACUCUUCUGACUUCUGCAGAAUAAAAUUGUCUAAUUUUGGUGUGUAAACACGUUCUCCUAAGCCAAAAGCUUAAAAUCUGAUCCCUUGGGUCACUGUGUUUCUCUACUGCUUUCCUUCACCCCUAUUUCAGGCCACAUAUACGAAGUAUGUAGAUCACGGCAUGCCGCGUAUCGGGUGUCUCUGACAGCUGGCAACACAUUUGCAGUACAUGCAUAGCACCAGUAUUUCCAAAUGCAAGAGGGAGCACAAAGACUUCAAAGUAAAUGGAAAUCUCAGCUGAGUUUCUGUCUUCAAUAUGCUAAUUUCUACACAGUCUACAAGCAGACUGCACCUCCAGAAUAAACUUCAGUGGUGGCAGACACAUUGUCUUCAGCAUUGGGUAGCAGAUCACUGUAAUAAACUGCUUUAUACAUAAACUCAUUUAUACAUAUAUUGAUCUGAAAAGAAAAGAACAACCAAAUAAACCUGGCUGGACAUAGAUGAAA